rnacentral:rRNA from 1 species
GGCGGACGGGUGAGUAACACGUGGGUAACCUGCCUGUAAGACUGGGAUAACUCCGGGAAACCGGAGCUAAUACCGGAUAGUUCCUUGAACCGCAUGGUUCAAGGAUGAAAGACGGUUUCGGCUGUCACUUACAGAUGGACCCGCGGCGCAUUAGCUAGUUGGUGAGGUAACGGCUCACCAAGGCGACGAUGCGUAGCCGACCUGAGAGGGUGAUCGGCCACACUGGGACUGAGACACGGCCCAGACUCCUACGGGAGGCAGCAGUAGGGAAUCUUCCGCAAUGGACGAAAGUCUGACGGAGCAACGCCGCGUGAGUGAUGAAGGUUUUCGGAUCGUAAAGCUCUGUUGUUAGGGAAGAACAAGUGCAAGAGUAACUGCUUGCACCUUGACGGUACCUAACCAGAAAGCCACGGCUAACUACGUGCCAGCAGCCGCGGUAAUACGUAGGUGGCAAGCGUUGUCCGGAAUUAUUGGGCGUAAAGGGCUCGCAGGCGGUUUUCUUAAAUCUGAUGUGAAAGCCCCCGGCUCAACCGGGG